UUUAUGGAGAGUUUGAUCCUGGCUCAGGAUGAACGCUGGCGGCGUGCCUAAUACAUGCAAGUCGAGCGAACGGACGAGAAGCUUGCUUCUCUGAUGUUAGCGGCGGACGGGUGAGUAACACGUGGAUAACCUACCUAUAAGACUGGGAUAACUUCGGGAAACCGGAGCUAAUACCGGAUAAUAUU
rnacentral:rRNA from 1 species